UAAUGUGAAGGUGAUCUGGCUGUGACAUCUGUCACCCCAUUGAUCACUGGAGAGGCAUAUGUGCCCAUCCUCCCUCCUCCCUCACCAUUCUGUGCAUGUCCCUCCUGAAGCUGUGCCCUUGGUAGGAGAGGAUGACCUUCCCUGAUAGAAAAGGACUCUUCCUCUGCGCAGGGUAUAUGAUCUUAAACCCUCCCUUCUAGAAUCUCCAAGCAAGCUCUCAGUACAGGAACACUGAAGGCAAUGUGAAGGUAUGGGAGAGCUGCAUGGGUGCUUGGCACUCAU
rnacentral:snRNA from 1 species